GCUGAUUAUUUCAUAAAAAUAUAAGACUUUUAUCUUUAACAACGUUUUGUUAUCUUAUUUGUUUCAGGAUUGAAUAGGAAUUAGCUGCUGAAGACGCAUUGAAACAUAAAGCGUGAUUCAUAGAAAUCUUUCGGGAAGGAUUGAAUAGGAAUUAGCUUCUGAAGACGCAUUGAAACAUAAAACUUGAUUCAUAGAAAUCUUUCGGGAAGGAUGUUGUAAUAGUUACAAAAAUGUAGAUGCUUCGGAAUAGUUUGUGAUCAAAGGUUGUUAGAUAUAUGUCAAAUCAUGUGACUCCAAAAGAUUAGUUAUCCUGAGCAAGU